GUUCACGAGAAGGCCGUCGCUCAAAUGUGGACAGACAUAGACAUUCCCGGGGUUGUGGGCUUCGAGGAAAUUGAUCUUAUAAUAUUCAAGAGUAGGCAAGUGGAUUCCAACAAAAAAAGAGACAAGGCAAGUGGAUUCCAAACAAACAAAAAAAGAGUAGGCAGGUGGAGCAUCUGGAAUUUGAUCUGAAAAAUCCGCGAGCAAUCCUUAUCAGAAAGACUUUUAUGAAAUGAAAGUAGUAUUAUUAAUAAUAUUUUCAGUAUUAUCGGUUAUGAAUAAAAUAAUUAACAAAAUAAUAUUAUCCCCUA